ensembl:lncRNA
UCGCCGACAGUAUGUGUUUUAGCUGGACUUAUUUUUCGCUUAUAUGGACCGAUGAUUUAUUUAUUUAUUCAUUUUAGUAACGGUAUAAACAGUGAAAGGUGGUGGAUUGGCCAGAUGUAAACUUCAAAUAUCUGCUCGUGUUACCUAGACAUCCCAUAUUAGCUCUGAUGUUUUCGGUGCCUGCAAAGAGCUAGACAGGUAGCUAGCUAACCCGAGCUGGCUGUCUUUUUGACUCAGGGUCAUAGCUGGACUUAUUUUUCGUUUUUAUGAGCCGAUGAGGGGUUUUUUUUUUAGUAACGGUACAAACAGUGAAAGGCGGUGGAUUGUCCAGAUGCUGGUCGAUGUGGAAAAAAUAACUGAGUUGUUUGGUAGUCGCUGACGCGGAGCUACAACCGAG